UUUUAACCAGAGAGCUAUUUAGGUGCUCUCUGUUUGUAUGUAUUUGUGAGGAAGGAGGAGACUGAAGCUGUGACCGACCUAGUAUGACUUUGUGCCUCUUUGUAGACUGUUUUUUCUCAUUUCGACAUCUGGGCUUUUCUUUCUCAAUGGAGAUUCCUGAAGACAGCUAAGACAUGAGCUUCCUUGCCACUGGCUGCCUGCAAGGUGGUUGGCACUGGGGUACUCAGACUGUAGUUCUAAACAAAGUGAUAUAAAAACUUUUUUUCCCAACCUGAAUUAUGCAAGGAGAAGAACAAGUAGUCCUUUCCAUCAGUGGAAACACAGCUGAAGGGAACGUAGGGCAGAGAGAAAAUGGACAGUACUCUGAAGGUGUACGCAGACUAGAGGAAUGUCUUCUACUAAUACUGCAUCUAUAUAAAAUGGCUGGAACAUACAGCCAAAUAUGGCCUUGGUCAAGCUGGACCCUUGAGAGAGUCUUCUCAUGCUGUCAAUAGAAGCAAAUACUACAGAGCAGAAGAGAGCUAACUGUCCCUUUGAUGCUGUAAAUGAUGACAGUGAAGAAAUCAGAGUGGGUAUAGCUGUGAACAUGGGCCAUAAAAGGCUGCAGCCACUGCCGGGAGCUUACUUUAGAAACUCACAGGGCAGAUCUCCAAGAUCACAGUGUCUGCCAGGCAGAAGAUGGUGAAAGCAUGAAACAGCCACAACCUUCUUCCAUGAGGGCAUGAGGCAAGAUGGUUAGAGACCGCAGAUGGCAAACCAGUAGUCAUUUGUAUUGAGGACACAGCAAAGAGCAUCUGCCUGGCUGUGGAGACACCUGACAUAACCAGGACAUCCAAAGAAGUUUGCUGCAUAGCAGCACUUUAGACAUCUCCAGGAGAGAGAGCAGCAUUCAUUUGAAGCAGGCAGUAAGCGAGAGAUGUGUUCAUCUUCAUCAUGGCCCACUGGACAAGGCCCAGUGUGUGAACUCAGAAACAGACCUGACAAGUCCUUGCACAGGUAAAGCAGGAAGGAAUGCAAGCAUUUUUAUGUCCUUUCUGACCUUUUCAUACAUUUUUACAGCCACAGACCUGGGCUGAAGAACUCUAUGUGACUGACUACAAAGCAUACACAGCAAACCCCACACAAUUAUGAGUUUGAUCUCGAAAUGAAAUUGGAGGAGCUAGGAUCUGUGUGUGUAUAUAUCUUUGCGCACAGCGGGGACUUCAUCUCUGUAUGUUAUGGGAGAGCUGGCCCUAAAACUGGUAAAAAUUUCACUGAGGCUCAAACAUAACAAAGCCAAAUCAGACCAUUAUUUAUUGUUUGCAAGAAUGGCUGUGGUAUUAAGAUGUCAAAUUCAGUGAAAUUUAAAAAGUUACAAAGUAAUGAGUUUAAAGCACUCUUUUUAAAAAGGAUUAAAGACGUUCCAAAGCAAAGCCUGCAGUCCCCCAUCUCUUGUAAUGGAAUGGCAGCAAGACUAGCCACCCUUAACCUUCCUCUCAUUCACUAAGUCUCACGCUGUGGCUAUAGACAAUUGCUCCAAGGCUGAAUUUAUGUCAGAUAAGUUCUGAGCCCAUUAAUGAUUCGGGCUUUGAUUUGUGAAAUAGAGGUGCCCCUGGGAUCUUUAAUCUAUCUGUAAAAAGCUUUUUGUAAGUUUUCUGAAAUGUCAUGUAGGAAAUCCAUGUACAGAGGGACCAGAUUAUGACCCAAUUACCAGCUGUGCUAAUCCAGAGUGAUUUCACUAAGUUCAGUGGAGAUGAUGAAGAUUUAAAACAAUGUCAGCUUGGAUCAGAACUUAGCUUCUUGUCUCCUGUUCUAGCUUGAGAUCUAAAUAUUCCAGUUGAAAUUUUAAUUAUAUGUUCUUUGUUAUUGUUGUUGUUGUUGCAUAUGCAAGGCACUAGAAAAAUAAAUCUUUCCUUGUUUUAUACAUUGUUA
ensembl:lncRNA